rnacentral:rRNA from 1 species
UACGAAGGGGGCUAGCGUUGUUCGGAAUCACUGGGCGUAAAGCGCACGUAGGCGGAUUUGUAAGUCGGUGGUGAAAUCCUGGAGCUCAACUCCAGAACUGCCUUCGAUACUGGGAGUCUCGAGUCCGGGAGAGGUGAGUGGAACUGCGAGUGUAGAGGUGAAAUUCGUAGAUAUUCGCAAGAACACCAGUGGCGAAGGCGGCUCACUGGCCCGGUACUGACGCUGAGGUGCGAAAGCGUGGGGAGCAAACAGG